AAUACUUAGGAAUCUACCUAUUAAUGGGGGACAACAUUUCGAAAGGAAUGCUAAUACCGCAUACGCCCUACGGGGGAAAGCAGGGGAUCUUCGGACCUUGCGUUAAUAGAUGAGCCUAAGUCGGAUUAGCUAGUUGGUGGGGUAAAGGCCUACCAAGGCGACGAUCUGUAGCGGGUCUGAGAGGAUGAUCCGCCACACUGGGACUGAGACACGGCCCAGACUCCUACGGGAGGCAGCAGUGGGGAAUAUUGGACAAUGGGCGAAAGCCUGAUCCAGCCAUGCCGCGUGUGUGAAGAAGGUCUUCGGAUUGUAAAGCACUUUAAGUUGGGAGGAAGGGUAGUAACCUAAUACGUUGCUACUUUGACGUUACCGACAGAAUAAGCACCGGCUAACUUCGUGCCAGCAGCCGCGGUAAUACGAAGGGUGCAAGCGUUAAUCGGAAUUACUGGGCGUAAAGCGCGCGUAGGUGGUUCAGCAAGUUGGAUGUGAAAGCCCUGGGCUCAACCUGGGAACUGCAUCCAAAACUACUGAGCUAGAGUACGGUAGAGGGUAGUGGAAUUUCCUGUGUAGCGGUGAAAUGCGUAGAUAUAGGAAGG
rnacentral:rRNA from 1 species